UCAUUAGUUUUUUAAUUGAAAGCUUGUAUGAAUGGUUUGAUGAGAAAAUAACUUUCUAUAUCUAAAUUUUUAAGAACUUUAUUUUUAAGUUAAAAAGCUUAAAUUUUUUUAAAAGACGAGAAGACCCUAUAGAGUUUUAUUAAUUUUUAAAUUUAAAUUUAUAGAAUUUAAUAAUUUUAAUUUAAACAUUAAUUUGAUUGGGGUGAUUGAAAAAUUUGAUUAACUUUUUCUAUAUAUAAACAUAAAUUUAUGAAUAUUUGAUCCAUACAAAUGAUUAAAAGAUUAAAUUACCUUAGGGAUAACAGCGUUAUUUUUUUUUAGAGUUCAAAUCGAAAAAAAGGAUUGCGACCUCGAUGUUGGAUUAAAGUUAAUUUUAGGUGCAGAAGCUUAAA
rnacentral:rRNA from 1 species